rnacentral:lncRNA from 1 species
GGGGCGGCGGGGAGGCUUCAGAAACCGCCCCUCCCUCAAGGGCCACGGGGAGCGAGGAAGACACCCACCUAGCCCCGGAGGGGCUGCGGCUGACGCGAGGUUCACUCCUUCCCUCCUCCUCUCUCCGCUUCCCCUCGUUUAACCUCCAGCAGCAGCACUAGGGAAGCGCGAGCCGGCGUCGUCGGUGCAUCUGGGUGCUGCAAGCAGAGGCUAUGCGAAACUCCGAGGCUGGUGGGAUUUCUUUGCUUUCCUUCUUUUCGUUAGUGAAUCCCUGAAUGGAUUUAGCCAGUCGUUGCUCCAGAGCAGGCGCGCUAGAUACUCUUGCUCCCAGAAGGUGUCUGCAGUGAUUCUGGAAUUUCCAAGGGUGUCUGGCCAGACUGGCUGACUGGCUUCCUGCUAACCAAACUUCAGGACAGACAAAAGCACGUGGAGCAAUCAGGAUAUCACCUCCCCAGGAUUGCUCACAUGCAGCUGUGUCCAGGCACAGCCAGACUAAUGCCAACUCCUUCAGUGCUCCUCACAGAAGAUGGACCUCUAUAGGAGUCCAGUGCCAAGCGCAGCCCUUCUUGCCAGUCUUUGGCUGCUGAUCUCUAGGAAAGGAUUAGCACUUUGUAGUGAGCACUCUUGAUCUUCUUAGCUACGGUCUCUCUUAAAUCUGCCCAGGAGGGCCACAAACAUUUCAGUCCUCUCAAANGAAGGCUAGCAUCAGAAGCAAGAGGACUUGCUACUUUAAGCUGCUACAGAAGUAAAACAAUGUUCAGCCCAAGUUCGUUUGUGCCANAGCAAAAGUACUACUGGAUUCAUCCACAAGUCACAAUCCAGGAAAACGUUUGCAAAAAGAGUGAGGGGUGCUACUAACUUUCCACAGAUGGGAAUCCAACCAUGUUUGUGGGGGCCNUGCUGAUGAUUUCUUCUAAGGAAACAGGCUGAAAGCUGUGUAGACAAGUCCCUUCUAGGAGAAAAUUGACACAGAUUUCAGUGCUCAACUUCUAUUCUAAUACUGAGCCGGUUGUAUAACUGAUUUGUGAAUAGAUUCUUUUGUUUCUGUUGCUCAUUAAUAAUGCUAGACAAGAACACUUAAUUGAAAAUGGAUGACUAUAAUGGAAAAAUAUGGUAAACUCUACUUCCAAAGACCAUGCCAAGUAAUAGGUUCAACUUACUUGUGACAUAGAACAGCAGAAAGGGUGACUCAGGUUUGGAUUACCUGACUGGCCUUCAGACCUUGUCAGCAUUUUGUAAAAUAAACACCUGUAUUGUCAGCA